GCCACAUUCUGGUCUUGGUUUCACCUGUGCAGACCACUUGUCUUCAGUGCCUGAAAUGUUUUCCAGCUAUUCAUGUAAAUAAAUGGCUAGGACGCACAUGCUGGCCUAGAAACCCGACUCACAUAUAUUGGGACAAAUCCUCCAAGACCUCCAUGCAGAACUCCACCCAAAUUGCUAGAGACCUCCACAUGGUGAUGUGUGUGUGGCCUUCGUCCAUCCACUUCAUUUGUUUUCCUUCUUUAAGUGGCACGAUAAUACCUACCACACUGACGUGUUGUGAGGCUUCAUGUUUGUAAAAUACUUUGAGACGUCAGUAAAAGGCUCCAUAUGAACAGCUGCCCAAGCCAUAUGUUCCAGAUGAUACUGGUUACUCAUUCGGUAUCGAUCCAAAGGCACA